ACCAAUGGAUGCAACCAUCCUGCUGUCAUCUUCACCACCAAAAGGGGAAAGACUAUCUGUGCCAACCCCAAUAACGCGGAAGUUCAGGAUUGUGUAACAAAACUGAAGCAGGUUCAGGAUCUGGAGUAACCUGAGCAGGAUUCAUUUGAGCUACUGAACAAAUUGUUGACUGAUAAGAAGGGAUACUAGGUCCCAGCCACCCAUCUCCAUUCUCUCUUUCCUCACCUCCUGGAAGCUUCUUGGACUGAAUUAUUUUUUUCAAAAGCAAGAAUUACUGUUCUACUCUGGUUAUAAAAGCUGUGUAUUAAUAAAACGUAUUCAGCUCUAGCUGGUUUGGCUCAGUGGAUAGAGCGUCGGCCUGCGGACUCAAGGUUCCCAGGUUCGAUUCUGGUCAAGG